GAUGAACGCUGGCCGCGUGCCUAAUACAUGCAAGUCGAGCGAACAGACGAGGAGCUUGCUCCUCUGACGUUAGCGGCGGACGGGUGAGUAACACGUGGAUAACCUACCUAUAAGACUGGGAUAACUUCGGGAAACCGGAGCUAAUACCGGAUAAUAUAUUGAACCGCAUGGUUCAAUAGUGAAAGACGGUUUUGCUGUCACUUAUAGAUGGAUCCGCGCCGCAUUAGCUAGUUGGUAAGGUAACGGCUUACCAAGGCAACGAUGCGUAGCCGACCUGAGAGGGUGAUCGGCCACACUGGAACUGAGACACGGUCCAGACUCCUACGGGAGGCAGCAGUAGGGAAUCUUCCGCAAUGGGCGAAAGCUUGACGGAGCAACGCCGCGUGAGUGAUGAAGGUCUUCGGAUCGUAAAACUCUGUUAUUAGGGAAGAACAAAUGUGUAAGUAACUAUGCACGUCUUGACGGUACCUAAUCAGAAAGCCACGGCUAACUACGUG
rnacentral:rRNA from 1 species